UACAGAGGGGGCAAGCGUUGUUCGGAAUUACUGGGCGUAAAGGGCGCGUAGGCGGCCUUCUAAGUCGAACGUGAAAUCCCCGGGCUCAACCCGGGAACUGCGUCCGAUACUGGAAGGCUUGAAUCCGGGAGAGGUGAGUGGAAUUCCUAGUGUAGAGGUGAAAUUCGUAGAUAUUAGGAAGAACACCAGUGGCGAAGGCGGCUCACUGGCCCGGUACUGACGCUCAUGUGCGAAAGCGUGGGGAGCAAACAGG
rnacentral:rRNA from 1 species